rnacentral:rRNA from 1 species
ACAUGCAAGUCGAACGAACUUAACCAUUAGUUUACUAUUGGAGCGGUUAGUGGCGGACUGGUGAGUAACACGUAAGCAACCUGCCUAUCAGAGGGGAACAACAGUUAGAAAUGACUGCUAAUACCGCAUAUGCCUUGAGUAUCACAUGGUACAAAAGGGAAAGGAGCAAUCCGCUGAUAGAUGGGCUUGCGUCUGAUUAGAUAGUUGGUGAGGUAACGGCCCACCAAGUCGACGAUCAGUAGCCGGACUGAGAGGUUGAACGGCCACAUUGGGACUGAGAUACGGCCCAGACUCCUACGGGAGGCAGCAGUCGGGAAUAUUGCGCAAUGGAGGAAACUCUGACGCAGUGACGCCGCGUGCAGGAAGAAGGUUUUCGGAUUGUAAACUGCUUUAGACAGGGAAGAAACAAGACAGUACCUGUAGAAUAAGCUCCGGCUAACUACGUGCCAGCAGCCGCGGUAAUACGUAGGGAGCAAGCGUUAUCCGGAUUUAUUGGGUGUAAAGGGUGCGUAGACGGGAAAUUAAGUUAGUUGUGAAAUCCCUCGGCUUAACUGAGGAACUGCAACUAAAACUGAUUUUCUUGAGUGCUGGAGAGGAAAGUGGAAUUCCUAGUGUAGCGGUGAAAUGCGUAGAUAUUAGGAGGAACACCAGUGGCGAAGGCGACUUUCUGGACAGUAACUGACGUUGAGGCACGAAAGUGUGGGGAGCAAACAGGAUUAGAUACCCUGGUAGUCCACACCGUAAACGAUGGAUACUAGGUGUAGGGUGUGAUAAACAUUCUGUGCCGUCGCAAACGCAGUAAGUAUCCCACCUGGGGAGUACGGC